UGUCCUGUAGGAUUGUGUGGUAUACCUGUAU
rnacentral:piRNA from 1 species